GACGAACGCUGGCGGCGUGCUUAACACAUGCAAGUCGAACGGAAAGGCCCUGCUUUUGUGGGGUGCUCGAGUGGCGAACGCGUGAGUAACACGUGAGUAACCUGCCCUUGACUUUGGGAUAACUUCAGGAAACUGGGGCUAAUACCGGAUAGGAGCUCCUGCUGCAUGGUGGGGGUUGGAAAGUUUCGGCGGUUGGGGAUGGACUCGCGGCUUAUCCGCUUGUUGGUGGGGUAGUGGCUUACCAAGGCUUUGACGGGUAGCCGGCCUGAGAGGGUGACCGGCCACAUUGGGACUGAGAUACGGCCCAGACUCCUACGGGACGCAGCAGUGGAGAAUAUUGCACAAUGGGCGGAAGCCUGAUGCAGCAACGCCGCGUGCGGGAUGACGGCCUUCGGGUUGUAAACCGCUUUCGCCUGUGACGAAGCGUGAGUGACGGUAAUGGGUAAAGAAGCACCGGCUAACUACGUG
rnacentral:rRNA from 1 species